CUGGGGUCAAUAAAUGAAACCGAAUUACCGAAAUAGGCUCCAACGCGUUGCAUUGUGGUAAGACCUUCAUUGGCGGGUCAGGCGGGAACAAUGGGUGGGAACCACUGAGCUAUAAUAUUACUGGAGGACGUGCUCCUAUCUAUCCUUCAGUCAAACGAGUGUCCGGAAAAACAUGGCGGAUUUUCAGGUUUGCUGACGCCAUAUGGUUCCUCCGGCUCAUGGCAAUUACCACUGACCAACCGCGAUCCUACGCUUGAAAUAAAAUCCUUUACCCCCCUGGUUUUUGCACAAAUUUUGAUCAUAAUUUUCGAGUUUUGACUGAAAAUCUUGAUAUUUUUGCAGUCGAGAAAAAAGUGCGUUAGUUUUCAGUUUUUGCUCUGCUUGUAGACGAAACAUUUACCUCGAAAGGAUUAUUAUAUUUCUUGUUUUCAGGUGAGAUUCACGAAAUUUUUUUUUUUUUUUACUGCGUUCUGGCCUGUAUAAUGAGAUAUUCAACAUGUCAUUAGUCAGAAAUCUAGGUAGAAAUCAUAUUACCAGAUAAGCUGCCCACAGUAUCCUGAGCUUCUGGCACCCCUAGGCUAUUUUCUACUGGCACCCUAGAUUAUGCAUACAGUAUAAUAACCACAGACUCUAGUAUAUAUAAACACAAAGAAUAUAGAUAGAAGCACAUUGUUUCAUGCCUUUACACCUGUAUAUACACUUAUUUAGCACAUACAAUUGCAUAAAAUCAAGCAUGUCAGAUUUCAGUCAUCAGUCUAUGUAGAAAACCCAGAGGAUUUGAG